GAUGAACGCUGGCGGCGUGCCUAAUACAUGCAAGUCGAGCGAACAGACGAGGAGCUUGCUCCUCUGACGUUAGCGGCGGACGGGUGAGUAACACGUGGAUAACCUACCUAUAAGACUGGGAUAACUUCGGGAAACCGGAGCUAAUACCGGAUAAUAUAUUGAACCGCAUGGUUCAAUAGUGAAAGACGGUUUUGCUGUCACUUAUAGAUGGAUCCGCGCCGCAUUAGCUAGUUGGUAAGGUAACGGCUUACCAAGGCGACGAUGCGUAGCCGACCUGAGAGGGUGAUCGGCCACACUGGAACUGCGACACGGUCCAGACUCCUACGGGAGGCAGCAGUAGGGAAUCUUCCGCAAUGGGCGAAAGCCUGACGGAGCAACGCCGCGUGAGUGAUGAAGGUCUUCGGAUCGUAAAACUCUGUUAUUAGGGAAGAACAAAUGUGUAAGUAACUAUGCACGUCUUGACGGUACCUAAUCAGAAAGCUACGGCUAACUACGUG
rnacentral:rRNA from 1 species